UACGUAGGGGGCAAGCGUUGUCCGGAAUUAUUGGGCGUAAAGCGCGCGCAGGCGGCCUUGUAAGUCUGUUGUUUAAACUUGGGGCUCAACCCCAAGUCGCAAUGGAAACUGCAAAGCUUGAGUGCAGAAGAGGAAAGUGGAAUUCCACGUGUAGCGGUGAAAUGCGUAGAGAUGUGGAGGAACACCAGUGGCGAAGGCGGCUUUCUGGGCUGUAACUGACGCUGAGGCGCGAAAGCGUGGGGAGCGAACAGG
rnacentral:rRNA from 1 species